rnacentral:rRNA from 1 species
GACAGAGGUGCCGAGCGUUAGGCGGAAUCACUGGGCUUAAAGCGUGUGUAGGCGGAUCGUUAAGUGUCUUGUGAAAUCCCACGGCUCAACCGUGGAAUGGCUGGGCAUACUGGCGAUCUUGAGCGGCCUAGGGGCAGAUGGAACAAGUGGUGGAGCGGUGAAAUGCGUAGAUAUCACUUGGAACGCCAAAGGUGAAAACAGUCUGCUGGGGGCCUGCUGACGCUGAGACACGAAAGCCAGGGGAGCGAACGGG